rnacentral:rRNA from 1 species
CCUACGGGAGGCAGCAGUGGGGAAUAUUGGGCAAUGGAGGCAACUCUGACCCAGCAACGCCGCGUGAAUGAUGAAGGUCUUCGGAUUGUAAAGCUCUAUCAGCAGGGCAGAAGCAAGAGGGUAUCUGACUAAGAAGCCCCGGCUAACUACGGGCCAGCAGCCGCGGUAAUACGUAGGGGGCAAGCGUUAUCCGGAUUUAGUGGGUGUAAAGGGAGCGUAGACGGUGUGGCAAGUCUGAAGUGAAAGCCCAGGGCUUAACCCUGGGACUGCUUUGAAAACUGUUAGACUAGAGUGCUGGAGAGGUAAGUGGAAUUCCUAGUGUAGCGGUGGAAUGCGUAGAUAUUAGGAGGAACACCAGUGGCGAAGGCGACUUACUGGACAGUAACUGACGUUGAGGCUCGAAAGCGUGGGGAGCAAACAGGAUUAGAUACCCUGGUAGUC